CUACGGACUUAAGACAAUUGAGCCUCGGUUGAGAAAUCGAUCGAGUGGCAGCUCUCAAACUCAGGGAAACCUAAGGCACGGAACCAAUUCUGGGACGUUGUUCGCAGAUUAUCCUGAUCGCUACGGCAAUCCUGAGCCAAGCCGAAGGCACAAGAAGCUCGCGGGCUUUUUCUUCGGAAGGUGCAGAGACUCGACGGGAGCUACCCUAACGUAACCAGCCGAGGGUAAAGGGAGAGUCCAAUCUUCAACGCCAAACGGUCGAU
rnacentral:ncRNA from 1 species